rnacentral:rRNA from 1 species
UACGAAGGGUGCAAGCGUUAAUCGGAAUUACUGGGCGUAAAGGGUGCGUAGGCGGUUCGUUAAGUCUGUCGUGAAAUCCCCGGGCUCAACCUGGGAAUGGCGAUGGAUACUGGCGAGCUAGAGUGUGUCAGAGGAUGGUGGAAUUCCCGGUGUAGCAGUGAAAUGCGUAGAGAUCGGGAGGAACACCAGUGGCGAAGGCGGCCUUCUGGACCAAUACUGACGCUCAUGCACGAGAGCGUGGGGAGCAAACAGG